UACAGAGGGUGCGAGCGUUGUCCGGAAUCACUGGGCGUAAAGGGCGCGUAGGUGGCGGCCCAAUCCGUGGUGAAAGCUCGCCGCUUAACGGCGAGUCGGCCACGGAGACUGGGUGGCUCGAGCACUGUAGGGGCAGAUGGAAUUCCGGGUGUAGCGGUGGAAUGCGCAGAUAUCGGGAGGAACACCGGUGGCGAAGGCGGUUCUCUGGGCCUUACCUGACGCUGAGGAGCGAAAGCGUGGGGAGCGAACAGG
rnacentral:rRNA from 1 species